rnacentral:misc_RNA from 1 species
CAUAUCGUCGGUGAUAUUCUGAAACCGCGGAACUAACAGUCUUUAAAACCGCGUAUUUACAAAAGUAGCAAAAUCGAGAUUUCGCGGGCUUAGCUUUGUUGUAGUGAUUGGCUGCGUUCUGUGAUGUUGGCCGGGCCGAAAAUCCAAUAGGAAGCCGUGAAAUCGAAUGUCUUUUAAACCGCGAAACGUCAGGUGAUUGUUUAUUGUGCCCAAACCGCGAAUCUACGCAUCAUAACAUGAAAAGUGUGUUUGUUUAACGAAGCGUGCGUGAAAUAGUGUGGUUUUUAUUAUAAAUGCUGCAAUAAUUGUUUACGUCAUGGAGCAAGAAAAUGAAUCUGCGGAUGUAUCUGUUGUCACUUUAAGAGAUCUAGAAAAACGUCGCGCCGAACUUGUACGUAAAAAGCAGCUCAUCUUGGAUAAACUGAAUAAUACUAACUUACACAUCCCAAAUAAAA